UACGGGGGGGUGCGAGCGUUGUCCGGAAUCACUGGGCGUAAAGGGCGCGUAGGUGGUUUGAUAAGGGUGUGGUGAAAGUCCGGGGCUCAACCCCCGGAUCUGCCGUGCCGACUGUCAAACUCGAGGGCUGUAGAGGCAGACGGAAUUCCGGGUGUAGCGGUGGAAUGCUGUAGAGAUCCGGAGGAAGACCGGUGGCGAAGGCGGUCUGCUGGGCAGUUUCUGACACUGAUGCGCGACAGCGUGGGGAGCAAACAGG
rnacentral:rRNA from 1 species